GAAAACCAAUACACCUGGUUAAUCUUUGUAGGUGCAGAGAGGACUCUUUUUAAUGACUGCCUUGGCCUCCUGAGACCAACUUGGGACUUCUGGAUUAAGUGAGGGUCCUCUUAAAACAGCUCCUUUAGGCCACAGACUGGGGAUGGGGGAGCACAAUCCCAGGGCCUGGUCCUUCUAAGAAAGGCUUGGAAGGUCCACAGGUGAAGGGUACUAGGCCAAAGCAUGCAAUUUUACGCAGAAGUUUCGAGUCAGUCCUUCAGGCAUUCAACUUGUACCCCACAAUUUCCUUUGAACUUUACAGAUCUGUAAACAUCUACUUUGAGUUUGUGACCCAAGCUGUGUGACCUUGGGUAAGUGUCUUAACCUCUCUGGGCCUUCAUCGCUUCCUCUGUGACAUGUGACUCAUAAGUCCCAUCCUGGAUCCCUCAGGAGGCUGUCAGGCCGUCAAAGGAGACUACGUUUGGAAAUACCUUACAAGAUGUGUGUCUAAGUAUUUAAGGAUGAAGCAUCACUUUACUUAAAGGGGUUCAGCAACAAUGAAGCAAGGAUGGCUGACUAUUAACAAUUGUCUUGUUUCCUGAGUACCUACGAAGAUGCCUGGCACAUCACUGGCACACAGACAUCAUCUAAGUUCUGCCUGCCCGUAGGGGAAUUCCACCCUGUCCAGGUCACGCCUCCAGAUGGAAACCCUGAGACAGCUGCAGACCUUGGCUGCAUGAAACCCAGCUGCUCUUAUCAACUUGUUGAUUGCAUUGACAGAAAGUGGAUUUCAGAGCAAAGUCCUAGUCUGCUCAGAAAUACCCGUAACACCCCAACAAUCUGCUGAUCGCAGGACUUCUGACAUGUACCGGUGACGUAUUUAAAACCAGCAGUAAAAUACCAGAGAAAGUGC